ACAGAGUGUGAUAUUUGUGAAUCACGUUUCGUCGGUACUAGGACACGACCUAGAGCAUUGCAUUCCGAGUGCCAUGGCGGGACGUAUUGCUCCGUUUCUUCUGAUCUUCUUAGUGCUCACUUCUGCAAUCAUGGCUAUGGCAACUGCUGAAGAGGCGACAGCACGAGAAUGGUCAGGGACUACAAGUGCAGCCAAGUCGGAAGCUAGAAUUGAUCCCACCGUGCUCGGAACUUUAACUGGAGGAAACCGGCGCUAAUGGUCGCGCGAUUGCACGCGCAAGAAGCAGAAUCAUAAAAGGUGUUAUUCUCUUGCGGUGCCUCCUUCACUGAUUGAAUUGAUUUUGAUGUCUCAAUAAAGGGGCUCUUUUUUCGU